rnacentral:rRNA from 1 species
AUUGAACGCUGGCGGCAUGCCUUACACAUGCAAGUCGAACGGCAGCACGGGAGCAAUCCUGGUGGCGAGUGGCGAACGGGUGAGUAAUAUAUCGGAACGUGCCAGUCGUGGGGGAUAACGCAGCGAAAGCUGUGCUAAUACCGCAUGAGAUCUAUGGAUGAAAGCGGGGGAUCGCAAGACCUCGCGCGAUUGGAGCGGCCGAUAUCAGAUUAGGUAGUUGGUGGGGUAAAGGCUCACCAAGCAGACGAUCUGUAGCUGGUCUGAGAGGACGACCAGCCACACUGGAACUGAGACACGGUCCAGACUCCUACGGGAGGCAGCAGUGGGGAAUUUUGUACAAUGGGCGCAAGCCUGAUCCAGCAAUGCCGCGUGCAGGAUGAAGGCCUUCGGGUUGUAAACUGCUUUUGUACGGAACGAAAAGGCUCUGGUUAAUACCUGGGGCACAUGACGGUACCGUAAGAAUAAGCACCGGCUAACUACGUGCCAGCCGCCGCUGUAACAC